GCAAGCAGCAAGGCAAUGCCAGCAAUCGAACCCUUAAACUUGAAGGUCUAAUCAUCUGUGUUAUCGCUACUCGAUUAUAUACUACUAGUUUGUGGUUUGAGCUGUUUUUAAAAAAAAUUAGUACUACUUCAAAUUUUGAAUACCCACCUUCUAAAUUCUGGGCCCGCCACUGCGCCGAGCAGAGGCAGGCUCUCCGAGACGUAGGACCCGGCGGGAGGAGAAGACGCGGGUGCUCGCGCGCUCCGCUUCCGAGCGGCGCUCUGGCUCGGCGACGCGUAGGUCCACGCUACGGCCGGCGCCCGGGGCCGAGCACGGGCCUGCGGCAUGGUGGGGAAGCGGCGGCGGGGAGGCCGGAGAUAGGGAUGAGGAGGAGAGAGAAAUUGGGACCGGUGGAUGGAUGAGUUUUGGGUCUGUAGCUGCAUACGCUGUUGGAGACGGGUAAUUUUGAGUCACGUGCAUUUUCACUGUACAUCACCCAAACCAGCAAUUGCCUAUCGUGUUUGCCUUGCGUCCGUUGGAGAUAGUCUUUAUUUGGAACCAAACAGGGCCUAAACAAUCAGCUGCCCGGUGAGAAACAGUAAUUGAUCAAUGUACUCAUUAAAUUAGCAAGAUCCGACUGAUUUGCAAAAUCCUACCUGGCCUCUUUCUUGAUGACCACCACGAAGGCCAUCACUCGGGAGGCUCCGAUCCUUUUCAGAUUAUGUUUUGAACCGGUUAAGACUAAUUAUUAGCUUGAGCUAAAAGUUAACUAGUUAAAGAUUAGCCAAUAUUAGCUAGUAUUAGCCAAUAGAUGCAUAUUUAUCACUAAUAAUGAACUAGUAUUAGCUAGUUAUAUAUCACCACUAAUGUGGAGACCGUUGGUCCCUGUCGAUCCUCGUUUUCUUCUUGCCCUUCCUAGUUCCUUUUUUAGAAAAAGGAACUUCAUUCCAACCUUCACAUCCAGCAAACAUAUGACAAAACCCACAACUCCACAAAGCGGUAAACCAUAACGAAACAAGAUCCCCAUGCAGGUGCAGGCGAACCUAAAAAGUUCCUUAGCGUGGUCAUUCUUUUCUGUGAUAUAUGUCGCGUGCCUCCAUAUUAUUUUUUUGUGCAUUGAAUAUUUUUUAAUUGCCGCUCCUAUUCUUUUUUUAAUAAAAUCUUCACCCCACCGCCUUUGGACUGCUCCUGGCUAGAUCCAACCAUGGGCAGACCAGAUCCACCGGCCAAGGGGAUGGUAGAUAGACUACCCUCGAGCCGCCAAUAAGGCAAAUAGAGGAGCAAUAUUUAUGAUGGAGGCACGAGUUGUCAUGGGGAGGUGAAGCGUUACAUCAACAUCUUUCAAACAAAACACAUAAGCCACCUCAAAAUAUUUCAAACGAACAAAGAUGACAUUAAGAUUCAGAUAAGAUAAAAGGUGCUUGGCCUUGUGUUUGACAAAUAAAAGCGCGGAUACACAUGCAUAUGCAAAAACCCAAAUAAAACGAUAAAGCCCUUGUGCUCUUGUUAUUCAAUUUCUUGCAUAAGCCAUUACAUGGUAUGGUCCUUGUGAUGCAUUCAUCCCUAGAGGACCAACUAUUCUCAUUCACAUCACUCAUCACACUCGGUUGCCAUGGUUGAUUGUAGCAUCUGCAGGCGGCGGCGGCGGCUCAUCAUCGGAGCUCCCAUCGCUGGGUCCAGAGGGCGGUAUGAUCUUGUACGGCAACAAAUUCCCAACCACACCAUGUGAUGUCGACGGAGACAACACAUCCAAAUAAGGGCGUGCAUCCGCCCUUGUUGUCAGGAGCGUCGUCGCUAGUAGUACCAAUACCACCACCAUGCUCGCUCCGCCGGCGGUAGUGUUCUUGUUGCUAGUCAUGGCUUUGGUUUUUUUUCUUCUCCUUUUCAGUAUUUUUGUAUAGGAGAGUGUAAUGUGGUGGGUACAAGUUUGGGCUAAUAACAUAUUUAUAGAUAUAGUUGAGCCGAGACUAGAUCGAUUUCUCUUGUGGAGAGAAAAUAAAUAUGGAAGACUUUUAAUGCA